GCUAUCAGCAUUGCUUCAUUGCACUAGAGGAAAGAAGAAUUCAGAGUCUGUUCAGGAGAAUCAGUGUACACAUGUCAGGUUCCAGCACAAGCAGCAAGCAAAAAACAACUUGCCAUUCCCUCCUACAUAGAGAGCAUUGAAGAGAUGGAGACAAUGGAAGUCACACACACCUACAACUCUUAUCUUGCCUUUAUUUGCAUUCACUUGUGUUCAACAAAAGUACCUUAUAACUGAGCAAUUGAGAAGUAAACAAUACAACUUAGUCCUAUACAUGGUUUGGACCUUUAUGACACAUAAUAAAGACAAAAAUUAGUUCAUGACACCUGUUUUGCAAUUCAGUCUCCCGUAACACUGAAGCCUGAAGUUGCUCCGUUUCCAGUUUAGCUGCAUCUGACACCAAUGUUAAAUGUUGCACCUCCUCCUGGAGGACCUUAUUUUCCCUCUGGCAUUCACCUAGCCUUUGGUUCACACUGGACAGUUCUGGAAAGAAAAUGAAAUAGUGCUGAAGAUACAAGAUAAAAUUGUAAACACAGCAGCAAUAAAAAUGUUCACAUUCUA